CAGGAUGGAAACUGCCUGCGGUGAACAGCUCGUUAUUAGUGCUCUACUUUUCGCAGCAAUUAAGUCAAGAACCAUGGCACCUGUUCAUCUCACCUCCCUCGCGGGAAUUAACAUGCCGUAUGGGAAGGGGAUUUGCAAGGGGGGAAGAGCUUCCUUGCGUCUGUUAAAGGGUCAGCCACACCGCCUUGCUGCCACCAUACUUUCACAGCCCCACCAGGCCUUGCUUCCCAGCCUCCGAGUCUGUGUCAAGGACCGAGGCCACCCAGGAUAUACUCCUGGCCUACAGCCAGCUCUGACGUCUGUGCUCACACACUGAAUGCAGAAAAGAAAGAGAAAAGAUAGAUGUGCUCCGAAAAGGAACGUUGAUCAGAUGUCUGUGCUGUGCUUGCUGCUGUCAGUCCAGGGGGACAAAAGUUCUUCUGCAAGGGAGGCAGUUUCUGUGAGUCCUUCCAUUCUUCUUUUCUUUUUUCUCCUCUUUCCUGCUUCAGCACCAAUAGUGCUAGGCUUAAUGCUGAGGAGUGCUGUCAUUUUAUGAUCCUAAUUACACAGCAGCAAACUGAAAUCCCCCUGGUCUACUUUGGACAACUUGGACAUGUUGUGUGGAUCAUGCAAGUGGGAUUUGGCAUGGAGCCAGGAAGAGGAGUAAAUUAACAUGGUCACUUAAGGUCAUGGUCAUAAAAAGUCAUGGCUCUUCUGCUGCAGAUUUUUCAAGGCUUUGGCUCUUUUGUACAGGUUUCAGUGGAGCAAGAAAUACAAUCUAUUUUUAGUGAGUUAGGCAGCAAGUGAUAUGUUGCAGUGGAAAGCUAUGGACAGUUUUCAGCUGAACUGAACAGUGGGGAACUUUGGGAUGGCUUCUCAGCCCUAGUUCUUUGCUCUGACAAGGCAGCUAGGGAAAUGAGAAGAAGGGGUCACUGACAUUUUAUUCGUAUUUAUCUCUGAAUAGGAAGGCACAGGCAUGGAUAUUGGCUUUCAACAAACUGCUCUUGCAAACAAAGUGCUCAUACUUGGGAGAGCACAUGAGAGAAGAGAGCUGAGGUUAGAUUUCCAAUUUCCUUGAAAAAGAAUAAUCUAAACCCUGUUACUGUGAGUUUUGUUUGUUUGUUUGUUUGUUUGUUUUUCACUUGUGUGGUAUGUAUAUUACUCUGUGAAAGGUAUGGUGGGACAAAUGGCAGAAGAGCCUUUGAAUAGCUAGAAAUCAGUCUUCUCUUGGAUCCCUUUUCAAAAUCUAUUAUUUUCUGUCUUCUUC
rnacentral:lncRNA from 1 species